AUGAGAACAAGUACCUCCUCGACCACCUGCUCGUCGCCGGCCUGCACGCACUGCGCCGCUCGACACCUUCGUCUCCAGCUCUGGCAUGGCCGAAUCAGAGCCCGCCGCCUCCUUCUCCACCAGAUCCGCCGCAGCAGCUGCAGCUCCAGCGACUGCCAUGGACGCAUCGGUUGUAGCAUCUCCCGCCCCGCCGUGGACGCAGGCAACUUCCUGCAUGGCAUCUGGCGCGGUCCCGCGACCUUCUCCCCCAGCAUAUCUCCGGCCGAAGCGGAUGCAGCGCCACAACCGUCCUCCAUCGAAGCCGAAAACAAGCGGCCGGACUGA
rnacentral:rRNA from 1 species